AUGACCACAGGAAAAACCAUAGCUUUGAGUAGACGAACCUUUGUUGGCAAAGUAAUGUCUCUGCUUUUGAAUAUGCUAUCUAGGUUGGACAUAACUUUCCUUCCAAGGAGUAAGCAUCUUUUAAUUUCAUGGCUGCAGUCACCAUCUACAGUGAUUUUGGAGCCCAUGGAAGUGAGAAAUAGAUUUAAGGGCCUAGAUUUGAUAGAUACAGUGCCUGAUGAACUAUGGAAUGAGGUUCGUGACAUUGUACAGGAGACAGGGAUCAAGACCAUCCCCAUGGAAAAUAAAUGCAAAAAAGCAAAAUGGCUGUCUGGGGAGGCCUUACAAAUAUCUAUGAAAAGAAGAGAAGUGAAAAGCAAAGGAGAAAAGGAAAGAUAUAAAUAUCUGAAUGCAGAGUUCCAAAGAAUAGCAAGAAGAGAUAAGAAAGCCUUCCUCAGCGAUCAAUGCAAAGAAAUAGAGGAAAACAACAGAAUGGGAAAGACUAGAGAUCUCUUCAAGAAAAUUAGAAAUACCAAGGGAACAUUUCAUGUAAAGAUGGGCUCAAUAAAGGACAGAAAUGGUAUGGACCUAACAGAAGCAGAAGAUAUCAAGAAGAGGUGGCAAGAAUACACAGAAGAACUGUACAAAAAAGAUCUUCAUGUCUCAGAUAAUCACGAUGGUGUGAUCACUGACCUAGAGCCAGACAUCUUGGAAUGUGAAGUCAAGUCGGCCUUAGAAAGCAUCACUAUGAACAAAGCUAGUGGAGGUGAUGCAAUUCCAGUUGAGCUAUUUCAAAUCCUGAAAGAUGAUGCUGUGAAAGUGCUGCACUCAAUAUGCCAGCAAAUUUGGGAAACUCAUCAGUGGCCACAGGACUGGAAAAGGUCAGUUUUCAUUCCAGUCCCAAAGAAAGGCAAUGCCAAAGAAUGCUCAAACUACCGCACAAUUGCACUCAUCUCACAUGCUAGUAAAGUAUAUAAUAAGUCCAACUGGUCUAAUGUUAAGACCACUGUUUCCUUAUUGGUUUUCUGUCUGUAUGAUUUCUCCCUUGAUAUAAGUGAAGUGUUAUAA
rnacentral:lncRNA from 1 species